rnacentral:lncRNA from 1 species
UUCAUAUAUUGCCGUUACGACGAAUUGAUUCUCUAAGAUGUUGAAGGACUUGGAAGCCCUCGUCAGAACAAGUUCUUUGUCGCUCUCUUCUUUUUUGGACAAUCCUACUUUUGCUGCCAUCUGUUCUGUGGACAAGAAAUUGCUGCCACUCAAGGGGUUGUUGUGAACAUCACUUGGGUUGUAAUUUAAGAUGAUCCAUGAUUGAUUAGAGUUUGUCCCUCACUGAUUUUAAAUCAGGUUAACCCCUCGGCACUGUGCCAUAUCCAUUGGGGGAAAAUGAAAAUAAAAAUAGUUGGAUUUACCUGGAGUCUGUGGCGCCGGUGUUAUCCUGGAGUCUAUGUUGCCGGUGUGCGGUGUUAUCCUGGAAAACUUUGAUUGUUCUGUUAAAUUAUUUUUAUGUUUGUUUGUUAUAAGUGUAUUCUCCUUGUCAGAUCAAAUAUUUUGCUACCUUCUGUUUUGUGGCCCUGCUACUCCAAACUGGCCUCAUACUCUCUCUUCUUCCUUGUCCAGGUAAUCUCCCUGGGCAUAGUCUAUCGAGGUAGAGUUUCCCCGUGUCUUGAUUGGUUGGAUUUUGCAAGGGUAAAGUUGGUAAAGUAUAUCAAAAUGUAUAUAAACAACUAUACAGGGUUUGGUGAUAUAGAUAAUAUUGAAGGUCAAAAAUAACAAGUUAUUAUAAUUAUAACUCAUUUGUCAUCAAUAUUAAGUUGUGAAUUUUCGAAAUAUGCACCUUAAUUGUUAAUCUCAUGUU